GGGGCCAUAGCUCAGUUGGGAGAGCGCUGCGAUGGCAUCGCAGAGGUCGCCGGUUCGAGCCCGGCUGGCUCCACCU
rnacentral:tRNA from 1 species